CAAAAGGAAAAAAAAAAAAAAGAAAGGAAAAGGUCGAACAAGGUACACUUUAGGUACACUUUCUAGAAAGAUACUUUUCAUACCGCCCUCGCUAGCAUAGCUCGAAGAAAUUGGUGGAAUGCAGGAGAUCCAGAAGAUCAUCCGAUUGCACAGUUAUGUUAAAGCUUAAAGCUCAGCUUAGGCAUGCAAUAGGUACAGGCGAAUAGACUUUAUUCAUGUGAAAUCAUUCCCCUGCAUAGUUUCACUUACGGCACACGUAUAUAUAGAUUUUCGUGAUUUUCGCAAUCGCAGAGUGAAUGGUGAAGACACGUGGAGUUACAUAACUUCCAAUUUUUCACUAUUAUCUAAUCAUCCGCUGUUUAUAUGGAUUAAUAAAUCCGAAGAGUGGCGUUAGCUGAACUACCCGAGGGAAAAGUGAAAAUAAAGUGAAAUUCUUGAAAGAAGCAAAGGGAUAGGAGUACUGGAAAAUCUUAAUACAGCCAAGCCGGCCAACCAAUCUACGGUAUCAACUACUAAAACAACCAAGCUGACCGUUUGGGAGUUAGCGCAGUGCACAUCCACGGCGGCAAAGUGAAGGCUGAACCGUUGACGUUGGGCUAGCUCAAUAUCGGAAAUCAUUUACGGCUCGUGAAAGACCAACCACCAUACACCACUGCUGGACGUCCGAAUAUCAGUUUGAACCUGCCGAUCUCGUAAAAAAAAAGCCGGAGGACAUAAUCGUCACCAACCUACGAAAACUUACAAAGGAUUGAGUAAUUAGGCUAGCCUAAACCACAUUGCCUCAGAACCACUCUUGCUGUCAGCAGAUUUGUGUUUAUUUUUGAUUCCCGUGUUUCUCAAAUUAAAUUUCAAGUGCAAGUUCCCGUUUGCCUUUAUCACUAUCACAUAAAAAUCUAUACGCUGCUGCUCUAAGAACCAGCUGAUUAGAUCCACAUAUUCAUAUCUCGUUUAUCAUUGUGUUGAUUAAUGUAGUAACUAAAUAGCUUCCUCCAAUGAGUAAAUUUGUAACGUAACUGACGAUUUU